rnacentral:misc_RNA from 1 species
UUUCCGUAGGUGAACCUGCGGAAGGAUCAUUAAAGAGUUAAGGUCUGACAGGGUCGACCUCCCACCCUUGUGUCUUAUUAACCAGCUGUUUUGGCGAGCGCACGCUCGCCCGAAAAUACCGAAAGACUUUUUCUUACUGUCUUCUGAGCACUCUAUAAUAGUCAAAACUUUCAACACCGUAUCUCUUCGUUCUGGCAUCGAUGAAGAACUCAGCAGAUCGGACGAGAACACGUACAACCUCCAGCAUCGCAUAGUCAUCUAGUAUGCCGUCCUCAGAUU